rnacentral:rRNA from 1 species
AUACGUAGGGGGCGAGCGUUGUCCGGAAUGAUUGGGCGUAAAGGGCGCGUAGGCGGCCCGGUAAGUCUGGAGUGAAAGUCCUGUUUUUAAGAUGGGAAUUGCUUUGGAUACUGUCGGGCUUGAGUGCAGGAGAGGUAAGUGGAAUUCCCAGUGUAGCGGUGAAAUGCGUAGAGAUUGGGAGGAACACCAGUGGCGAAGGCGACUUACUGGACUGUAACUGACGCUGAGGCGCGAAAGUGUGGGGAGCAAACAGGAUUAGAUACCCUGGUAGUCCACUCUGUAAACGAUGAAUGCUAGGUGUAGGGGGUAUCGACCCCUUCUGUGCCGCAGUCAACACAAUAAGCAUUCCGCCUGGGGAGUACGGCCGCAAGGUUGAAACUCAAAUGAAUUGGCGGGG